AAUAUUGCACAAUGGGCGCAAGCCUGAUGCAGCAACGCCGCGUGGGGGAUGACGGCCUUCGGGUUGUAAAGCACUUUUGGCAGGGAAGAAAAGGCUCUGGUUAAUACCUGGAGCUGCUGACGGUACCUGCAGAAUAAGCACCGGCUAACUACGUGUCAGCAGCCGCGGUAAUACGUAGGGUGCAAGCGUUAAUCGGAAUUACUGGGCGUAAAGCGUGCGCAGGCGGUUUGGCAAGAAGGAUGUGAAAUCCCAGGGCUUAACCUUGGAACUGCAUUCUUAACUGCCAGGCUAGAGUAUGUCAGAGGGGGGCAGAAUUCCGCGUGUAGCAGUGAAAUGCGUAGAGAUGCGGAGGAAUACCGAUGGCGAAGGCAGCCCCCUGGGAUAAUACUGACGCUCAUGCACGAAAGCGUGGGGAGCAAACA
rnacentral:rRNA from 1 species